UUUGUGUCUUCACUGCUCCGCCCUGGGAAAUACUUUUGUUUGUAAACGUCAUGCUCUAGGUGUGUAGGAAGACCCACAUUCUGAAGGAUCGUAUCCGAGAUGUCACAUUGCAUUUAGUCAUCAUGUGUCCUUAGUCUCCUCUGUUUAUCUAGAUGGUUUAUUUGAAUCCACAUCCAAAAAGAGCCACAUGUUAC